UUGAAACAGGAUACAACCUCACACACGUGGAAAACAAAAGGAUAACAAAACUAAGUGGGCCUAAAAGCAGCCACCUUUAAGAAAGCGUUACAGCUCCACCACACCCAACCCAAAAUCAUUUCAACACCCAUCAACCCUUAACCCCUACUGAACCAUUUUAUAUUAUUAUAAAAACUAUUAUGCUAGGACUAGUAACAAGAAUUUGCUUUUCUCCUUAAUAUAAGCAUAAACCAAAACGGACUAUCCAUUGGCAAUUAACGUUAGUGAACUAAUUAUAGUAACAACCCUACUAGAAAACUCUAUAUUUAAUAACGUUAACCUCACACCAGAAUAUUAAAGGAAAGAUUAAAAGAAAAAGAAGGAACUCGGCAAAUUUCAACCCCGCCUGUUUACCAAAAACAUCGCCUCUUGAUAAACAUAAGAGGUCCAGCCUGCCCAGUGACAAUGUUCAACGGCCGCGGUACCCUUACCRUMCAAAGGUAGCAUAAUCACUUGUUCUUUAAAUGAGGACUUGUAUCAAUGGCAUCACGAGGGUUGUACUGUCUCCUUUUUCUAAUCAGUGAAACUGAUCU
rnacentral:rRNA from 1 species